UAAAAACAAUGCAUUAAAAUCCCAAUCGAAUACACCCCGUAAGUCUACAGGCCUGAUUUGUGUGGGAGAAAGCUCUGAUGGGGUCGCCACUCACCCAACCAGUCGACUCUUCAGGUAUUGAGCUUGGAACUGGACUUUCGUCAUGGUCAGUUGGGGUCAAGUUCACAUCUCUGAAGCAUCAUCCGAAACUUUUCAUAUAGUAUUGAUCGCCAUUAUAUGUUACGGCAAGCAAAUCUAUUGGCUUUCCUUGCACGAAAAUGUAUUUACUCUGGAGUUGACACUUGACAAUAAGACUGUAAGACUCCAUAGAUAUGUCCAUACACAGCAACUCUUAAAAGACAAACUAGCCAAAUAGGAAAUAUCAGAGGGUGAUGUUGUUCUUAUGAUUUCCAGGGCAUUGAUAUAUUAUGCAUCUGGUUUAUCACCAAUCAGAAAGAGGGCUCUUUUGCAACAGACAAUAUCAUACAACCAUAUACUUUAUUUUGUAUGUCAACUUGACAUAUGAGACGUUCUUCAAUGUAUCACCUGCUUCUUGUUUUUCUCCUCAUCAGUAGCUAAGUUGACGCACAAGGAUUUUUUGUGGUAGGCAAAUUUCCAUCAUAAGUGCAUUGCGGGAUAUUUGAGUUCCUAAUGAGGCGGGGCCCAAUAGGCAGUUUGCUUGCUUUUGGACGAAUAUCCUGUUGAUGAAAGGAAGAGGAAAUGUAGCAAAGGAGUCAUGACUCGGUAAAAGCACGGUGAGCAGGGAAGAAAUAUUUCCACCCUUUUAGAACAUCAUUGAUGGUAUUUGGUGUGAACAAAGGUUUUAGAACAUAUAUUGAUACAAUGAGAAAUUAUGAUGCAGAAAUCAUAGAUAUAGAAUUUAGACAGAAAAUGAGAGGAAAUUUGUUGCAUCAGUUUUUCUGUAGAUAAAGUAGAACGAGAGAGAGUUGGUGACUGCGUGUCAGUUCUUAACACAAGAUUCCUUUUUGUAUGUCGUAAUUAAAAAACUAAUAUAGUAAUACAAGGUCUUAACAAUAUAUACCAAUUGCUAACAAGUAAGGAAAAUAAAAUAUAGGAGUACGUACUCGUAUUAGGGCAUUUAUUGUGUAGUAUUUUUAUGCUGGUGCUUAUAUGAAAGUAUAGCUCCUGUCUACAGGAAUUCCGAUUGGUUUAUUAGAUAUUUUGUAUAACUAAAUACUCUGAUUGAAUACUUUCUUAUUGUUUGUAUAUGUUGUGUACCUUGUAUGAAACACUAAUUUUAUGUGUAGGAAUUUAAAAUUAUAUACCUGGUCAAAGAUAGCUGUUGGGAUAGCAAGAGUAGCAACUGCAUUAGGGGCGUCAACUAUUCCUGAAAUCCUUCCUUCACAAGGGCAGCAUGAGAGUAAAAGAUAGACCUGAAGGUGCAGUGAUACACCUUAUGUCAGUACUCAGUAGUCAUAAGAAUUGAACUUUUAGUACCUAGUUAAAAGUGUUUUAAUUGUAUGCAGAUGAGUGUGUUUAUUAACAUAAAUCAUUUAGGUGAUAUAUGUUAAGCAAUCUUAUACCUGCUCUUUUGUGUACCCAAAUCUAGAUAGGUAGUCAAUUGCAUUAAGUACUGCUCGUUUAUAAGCGAUGCUAGCAUCAAGGUAAUGUUGUCUUCCACUCUCAUCGACGCUGAUGCCCUCGAACACCAGCCAUUCUGAAAAUCUUGGUUCAACAGGGCCAAUUUCGAAUAUUGGGUUUACAUGAAGAGGUGUGGGUCCCAUUGGAGUCAGGUACUCUUUCAUUCCGCCCCUAAUGAUCUCACACCUAAGAUAAAUUAACACCAACAUUAAAAAUAAAAUUUGAGCAAUAACAUGGAGGGAUUAACUAGCUUAACCAUCUGUUGAUAAAACAAUAUUAAACCAAAAUAUUGAUGUGAUAUUCGAGAAAUUUGGGAGGUGAUAGAAGUCUUAGAGAUGAAGGUUCUUUCAGGCACUGAUAUAAAAAUUGGAAAUGCUAUGAAGGCCUGUCUGAUAGAUAGGCUGUCUUCACAACAAGCUCAAGAUACAGAGUUUUUUUUCCGAGGUAUGGUAGUAAAGUCUUGGAAUGUACUUGGUUACAUCAUAUGAAGUCCUUGGUCUAAAGAGGAGAAUAUCCUGAGAAAGAUUCUCUGGACUCGCUCUAGUUCUAUGAUAUAUCUUUGAUGUCUUAGACUCAAAGCUUUAGUUGUCUACUUGCAGCUAAUGUAAUUGAUUAGGAACUAAACUAAGCAUUAGUUUGUAAAGUUUUGAUCUGGAUACCUACGAAUGUGUUAUCUAUGAUUUAUUUGUGUGUUGUUCUAUAUUAUAUACAUGAUUGACUACUAAUUCAAUAUUUUGAUUUUAAUUACUUUUAUGUGGAGUGCAACUCUGAAAGCAUUUACAAAUUUAGCGAUAUAGGAAGAAUGCACCUGAGCUCUAAAAACCCACUCAUUUCGAUUGCCCCACAGAAUGAGACCUCACCAUCACCCUGUGAGAAGUGCAUGUCUCCCGUGCUAAAAUUAGCACCUUCAACAAAAACUGGAAGGUAUAUCUUAGAACCCCUGCUAAGAUUUUUUAUAUCGCAGUUUCCUCCAUUCUCUCUUCCAGGAAUUGUCCUAGCUGCCUCAUUAGCUAUCCUUUCCCAUUCAGCAGUUUUUCCUUGAAUCUAGACAAAAAACUUAGUGUUCAUUUUACAAUAUCAAUAUUCUUUACAAAUUGCCUUGGUAAUAUUCAAAUAUGUGCAAUCACAUUAAAAUUCCUGCAUUACUCAUCUUAAUGUACUUCUCCAGGAGUAGGUAGUUAGCCUUUUAUAGCACAAGGUUAGUAUUUUAGAUGCUUAUUGCAUACCUUGCCAAGGUGGCAUCCUUUUGUUGAAGGUAGAUUUGCCAGUGGUCGCGUAUGCAGCACCUCACAUAAUUUCAUUGACUGAUGCCCAGUUUCUUCAAGCUCUCUUUCCCUCUUAUUCCAUAUGUCAAGGAGCUCAGCUGAAGGCGCAGUUCCAAUUAUUCCAGGGUGAGUUAAACCUGGAAACCGCACCCCUGUCCCAAGUAGUGUUAUCUUUGGAUACACCACAUCGUGUAUAUAAAUGAACGAAAAACUGAAUAUAUAGUGAAGAAGUUUCACCUGGUAUAUGAGGAGAGUAAGCAUAUAUUCCUUCAAAAUACCAAAUGGCUUUGGUUGCACAGGGGAAGUGAUCAGUUAGAAACCCGCCGCCAUUUUCUCUAUCAAAUAUUGCUGUAAAACCCCAUUCAUCUCCUGGCAGAGGACCCAAGUUGCAUAUUUCAACUGCUAGAAGAUCACCUGGCUUGGCUGGAGUCCCCUCCUUAUCCACAACUCUUAUCGGACCACUGAGGUAGUGAACCUAGGAUAGUUUCAGAGAUCAGUGUUAGUUGCUCAACUUAUAGGCAGUUUGGUUUUUGCAUAAAUUUGCUUUUCUCUUUUUGUGAGUUUAUGUUGGAUGUGACAUAUAGGCAUGUUAUCUCUUUAGCAGGUUAGGUACUAAAUAAAAUAUUACACUUACAGUUGAUAGAUCUACAUAUUUUACAUCAGUUGCGGAAUUAUCAUCUUUAAUUGCACCACCUGUCCAGUCUACCAUCUCUACCCUGAACAUCUCACCGGUCUUGACCUCUGCAACUGGUGGUAUUUCUGGAUGCCACCUGUUGUGAAGAGGUAGUACUUGUUCCGAAGGCUUCUUCUUCAGGUCUAUGGAUACAAUAAGUUUUGGAGUCGGGGGAGCCAUGGAUGAAUUAACUUGAAUGAAUUGAGUUGGUCUAUAGACAGACCUAAGUUCUGUGUGUUAGACCAAACUGAUCCUCAAUUAUUGUUUCCAAACUUCACCUAAAGUCUGUCCGAGUCACUUUCUCUUCUUAAUUGUUAAGGCUAUCACUGUCUAUUGUCUAAGAGCAGCACAUAUUCUAUGAAUCUAGUUGUCCUUGUUCAUUUGUACACCAGAUACAAGGGAAGGUAAUCAUUAUUAUUUUUUUCGUUUACAAUAAGAAAUUCUGGUUGGGCUAUUUUCCAAAUUUUCUUAAUUUUGUUGUAAUUUCCCUAAAUUUAUUAACUUAUCUGUUGAUUUCCAUGUAAAUAACUACGUAUAUAGUAUUAUUAUAUGGUAUGAUCAGAAAACUGACUCACUAUGGAUUGAUCAGCAUAUUUGAUGUCAUGUGCAGAAUAAUCCUUGGUGAUUCUACCCCCGCUAAAAUCCACCAUCUCUACCCUGAAAAGCUCCCCAACUGUGACCUCUGCGACGGGAGGUAUGUCGGGGUGCCAUCUGUUGUGGAGUGGCUGUUUUUGUUCCCAGGCCGCCUUCUUCAAAUCAAUGCUCACUACAAGCCUUGCUCCAAG